UAUAAAAUAUCUUUCUAUAAAAAAGGUUUUCAGAAGACAUUCUUUUCUCUUUGGGCAAGUACUUAUUUCUUUCAUUGUCCAAGAUGCUACGUUCAAUUCUAUAAAUGACUUUUUAAUAUAUAGAUUUUUAACGCUAACGUUACUUAUUUGUAGUAAUUGCAUUCGAAGUCAUGAAAUAUGUUUACAUCUUUACAGAAAACGUCAUAAUCGUAAUAGACAUUACAUUUUUAGCAGACGACUUUUAUCCAAAUGCCACCUAUAACUGACUGUGAAAGUCACUUGAAGAAUGCUGGUGUCCUGUCACCUAUAACUUAAUAUUCAUAGACCUAUCGUGUGCGCCCUUUGCAAAACGUAAAGUAGUUCAAAUUCAUGAAAAAGUAGAUAAAUUAAAAGUUUGAAAUACAUUAAAGCGAAGCGGAAGUUUAGUUAAGGAGAUUUUAUUUCCUGUUUCAGCGAAGUCUGCCAGGUAAAGACACAGCUGCUAUCAACAUGCGUGUCAGUGUUACUACCGUAAAUGAUAUGUUUAAUAAGCAACAUUUUCUCUAUAACCGUAUAGGUCUACUGUAUUUGUUAAAGAGUGGAGACGUGUGAUUAUUAAUAAAUAUGAAAACAUCAGCCUGGAUUUCUGUCAAGUAUUUGAGUGAGAAACCUACAAAAUUCUAAUGUGAACCUUCAUUAGCCUAUGCAUGAAUGAUAUGGUCACAGCCCAGUUUUAAGCCAAGAAGAUUUAAAUGCAACAUAGCUCUUUGAGUACAACAAAUGAAAUUUUAGUUGCAUAGCCUAUUUCAGUUAAAAAUAGAUCUAAAACACAACUCUCAUAGUGCAACUGCAAUAUUGAGAACAUGGAUAUAGAAAAAUAGGGUAAAACAUGAAAGUCAUGAAUUAAUGAGCAUUUAUACCAACAUUUUUUCCUAACACAUCCAGAUAACAAAAUAAUGAUUUCCAAAGUUCAUGGAGGGUACAGCAUUAUAUGUUACAAAAUUAUGAUGUUGAGAAUGGUAUUUUCUACAUGAUGCACGUGAACUAACAUGCAUCUUCUACUCCCUCAAUGAUCGAAGCUCACCUUCAGAAACAUUAACUCCAAUAUGAGCACUGCAGCUGCAAUUCAUAUUUACCAUACUGUAGUAGACAAUCUGAAGCAACAGUUUUCUUCUCUGGAUAAAGGGACAGUCAGUUACACUUUGAUGGUAUUCUAUAAAGCAGAGGUAUGUCUUCUAAAAGUGUAAGUUGAAAUGGGUUUAAAUUGUAGUUCAAAUUAUUCACCUGUUUUGCUUCCUAAUGCUGCUUUUGUGCUUUUUUCACAUUUUUUUAUUGCAUUUUCAAUUGUUAUCUCAAAGUUUCUUUUCUUGAAAGCAUUCAGAUUUAUCACACUUAACAUCUGAAUUCAUUGACAUGCAGAAGUGAAACUAAAAUGCAAGUAAGUCAGAAUUCUAGUGGUCUAAAUUUGGAACAACUGUCCGAUGUUCUAGCAUACAAACUGCAUUAAACAUUAAAAUGAACAGUUAGCUCUUUGGAUGAUAUGUAGCGGCCAUCUGAAAGAAAGAUCCAUUAUCUAGUAUUGUUGUGGCCACCGCCAGUUGAAAUUCCUAUUGUUGUGCAAUUUGUUAGUGUCACUAAGCAGCAACAGUUUCAGAACUAAACACUGGUCAGACCGCAGGAAUUUGGAUGACCAUGAAGAAGCGCUGGUAAUAAAGAGCUGCAGCCAUACUAAGAAGAGCCAAAGAAGAACAGUAAAUGCGUAUGAGCUGCGACUGAUAUUUCUAUUCCUUCUCAGUGGUACUAGUGGAAUGGAAGAUACGCAUGUGUUUGGAGUAUGUGGAGAAGAUGUCAUUCUACUAUAUAAUGGAACUCUUUCUGACUGCAACGCAACUGAAUGCUCCAGACACUCCACCAUCAUCUAUCUCAAGCUCUGAAAGAUGCUCAUCUCCUGAAGCAUCAUUAACUUUAACAAGAGUGAUUAUAAUUCUGGGUGAGAUUGCAGCAUUAGCCGCCCCUACUGUAAUACUUCUGCAGAUCUUCUGUGAAAGAUGAGCUGAUAACAGAAGAAAUGCUAAAACACCCAGAAAAUACAAUGAUACCAAUACUUAACACUGGUUAUUAGUGUGUUUUAACUACUUGGCUUUAGUUUAACCAUUUUUUUACUAUUUGACAGCUAACCAUAUUUGACAGCUCAACUUAAUUACCUAAUUUAUUUUUUAGAUUGGUAUUUAGCAUGCAAGUUGUUACAGUAUUUGCAAAAAAAUCCUAAAUUCUGCAGUACCUUCAUGGCUUCCUGAGAUAAUUCCUGAGAUAUGUAACUUCAACUUAAUUUUAUUUCUGCUUUAGUUCACACUUUCACAUCCUCUAAGAAUCUUUACAAUGUUCUCUAAAAAGUUAUUAUAAAAAUAUUACUCUGGUGUUCCACAAUUUUCUAUUUAAUCUGAACACACAUGUAAAGGCUUCUAUACAUCAACUUCUCACUAGGCAGACUGAAGGGACUUUUCACUGAAAUUAGACUUGUUCUGUAAAUAGAAUGCUUAUAAAAAAUAUUCAUUCUCUUGAAAGUACCUAUUAUUAAACAACCAGAUUACAGAAGUUAGUUAAACAAAAAAAGGGUUAUGGGAAAUUUAUAGGGUGACUAUCCUUGAGUUACACUAUCAUACAAAAAGUUUAAGUUCCAGCAUUCUCUACAUUUUAGAAUUGGUUCAGUCAUUGAGAUAGCUUGCAUGGGGCCUUCUCAACCUUGUCUGAUAUUAUUGUGUAAUUUGAGGACAAACUGCCCAUGACGCCUGUCUGAAUAAAGACAGGUCUUUGCCCGACAAUAUGCUUGUUUAACUGCAGUCUCCAAAACCUUCAUCCCUUCCAAAAAUAUGUUGCAACCACUGCCAGCUUUACAAUAAGAAAACUGUGUUAAAAUAAAGUUCAUGCGAAGGUCACCCUCAAGCCAAAUGACAAGUGCAUGAGGACAAAUGGAAACUGGCGAAAGAAAUUAUCUUUAAUGUAAACGGUGUCACUACAGUACAUAUAAUCCUACACUGACUACUGUGCACUUGCCACUGCAAUAUGAGGUCAACUUGCAUUGCACUCUUUUAAAUAACUUUUUUAUACUGUAUCUUUAAACAAAUAUAGGUGGACACAAAAAGAGAACUCAACAUAUGUGACUUCAUUCAACUCUGCAAAGACUGGUUAGCAUAUGACAUCAAAAUACAAUGAAAGUGAUUUGAGAGCAUCAUAUCACGAUACAUAUUUUAUGCCGAUUAGUCUGCACAGUGCUUCAUGAAGUUGGACACACCUAAAAUAUCGAAUGUUAUUUUUGUCAUAUGUGUAUAACACAUACCAUGUCCCCUCUUCAUAUAUGCACAGUUUACUUUAUAGGCAUAGG